CCUACGGGCGGCAGCAGUGGGGAAUAUUGGACAAUGGGGGCAACCCUGAUCCAGCCAUGCCGCGUGUGUGAAGAAGGCCCUCGGGUUGUAAAGCACUUUCAGUGAGGAAGAACGCCUGGUGGUUAAUACCCAUCAGGAAAGACAUCACUCACAGAAGAAGCACCGGCUAACUCCGUGCCAGCAGCCGCGGUAAUACGGAGGGUGCGAGCGUUAAUCGGAAUUACUGGGCGUAAAGCGCGCGUAGGUGGCUUGAUAAGCCGGUUGUGAAAGCCCCGGGCUCAACCUGGGAACGGCAUCCGGAACUGUCAAGCUAGAGUGCAGGAGAGGAAGGUAGAAUUCCCGGUGUAGCGGUGAAAUGCGUAGAGAUCGGGAGGAAUACCAGUGGCGAAGGCGGCCUUCUGGACUGACACUGACACUGAGGUGCGAAAGCGUGGGUAGCAAACAGUAUUAGAUACCCUGGUAGUC
rnacentral:rRNA from 1 species